rnacentral:rRNA from 1 species
AGAGUUUGAUCCUGGCUCAGGACGAACGCUGGCGGCGUGCUUAAUACAUGCAAGUCGAACGAGGUUGAUCCAGUUGAAAGACUGGUGACUGCCUAGUGGCGAACGGGUGAGUAACACGUGAGCAACCUGCCCCGAAGACCGGGAUAACAGUGGGAAACCGCUGCUAAUACCGGAUACCCCCACCGGGUCCCAUGGCCUGGUGAGGAAAUGGAUUCCGCUUCGGGAGGGGCUCGCGGCCUAUCAGCUUGUUGGUGGGGUAACGGCCUACCAAGGCAACGACGGGUAGCUGGUCUGAGAGGACGAUCAGCCACACUGGGACUGAGACACGGCCCAGACUCCUACGGGAGGCAGCAGUAGGGAAUCUUGCGCAAUGGGCGAAAGCCUGACGCAGCAACGCCGCGUGAGGGAUGGAGGCCUUCGGGUUGUAAA